ensembl:lncRNA
AGAGUUCAAGAGGCACAAGAACCCUCCUGUGCCUUCUAAGGGCCUUUUCUGUACAUUGUUCUAGCAAAUCCUUUUUUUAAAAAAAUUAAUUUAUUUUUUUUAACUGAAGGAUAAUUGCUUUACAGAAUUUUGUUGUUUUCUGUCAUGAGACUCUGGAGAGAGACAGGAUAAGCUUCCUCUCCAAGCUGCGGGCUUCUUUUUGUCCAGCAUCCUGCCUCAGUGCCUUCUGGACAGUUGGGGAGGGGGAACCUCCCCCUCUUCCUUGCCACCACUGCUCCCCCACCAGCCACCAGCCGGCCUGGCUCCAGGGGGCUGCACACACACAAGCUGAACUGUUGAGAGCUUUGGAUUGAAAUCAUCAUUCCUCAUCUUUCCAACUGCCAGAGCAGCCUUCUAAAAUACAGCCACGUGAAAAGAGAACAAGUAGAAAUUUAGCUGUUUAUAAUCCAGGUUUCCUUUUUCUCCAACCAGCUCCCCCGACCCACCAGUGCCUUUUUAUUUUAAAAAACAAACCACUAAAUCCUCUCUAGAACUGACAGGAGAAAAGUGAGGUUGGAAACCUGAGCUUGCCGCGUCUGCCUCUGCAAGCAGUGGUGCGUGUUUCCUCUGUGAGAAACCUCCCUGAAACUUCUGAAGCCAGGAUGUCCUGGCUGGCAGCUGUGAGGAAGGCGUGGGGACUGGAUUCAGGGAUGGGGGGAGGGGAAGCACUUUCUGGGCAGCCCUGGGCGACUUGCCGCCCUGAGAGGUCUUAUGGGGGAAAUUCCUUCAGGGCUCUUCUGCUGCCCCCAGCCCUUGUCUCUCGUGCACACACUUGCUUAUUCCAUUCUCCUUGUUUUCAUUUUCUAGUCCAAGGCAAUUCAGCAAAUAGUGAAGUGUUCCUGCUACUUGUCGACAUCUUCCUCAGCAUUGGGAACCUGCAUCUGGACAUUUUAAUAACAAUUUCUGAAUCAGGAAGUGUAGCUUUACUCAGUUUGGCAGAGGAAUCAAAGGAAGACUACUACAACGUACAUUUACAUUGGAAGGUCUUUCCCAGGAUGCAGAUUGGAUGCUGA